GGAUUAGAUACCCUGGUAGUCCACGCUGUAAACGAUGAGUACUAGCUGUUGGUCCUGGUGUAAAAGGAUUAGUGGCGUAGCUAACGCGGUAAGUACUCCGCCUGGGGACUACGGCCGCAAGGUUAAAACUCAAAGGAAUUGACGGGGACCCGCACAAGCGGUGGAGCAUGUGGUUUAAUUCGAUGCAACGCGAAAAACCUUACCUACCCCUGACAUCCUAAGAAGACAAAAGAGAUUUUGUUGUGCCUUCGGGAACUUAGAGACAGGUGCUGCAUGGCUGUCGUCAGCUCGUGCUG
rnacentral:rRNA from 1 species